UACAGAGGAUGCAAGCGUUAUCCGGAAUGAUUGGGCGUAAAGCGUCUGUAGGUGGCUUUUUAAGUCCGCCGUCAAAUCCCAGGGCUCAACUCUGGACAGGCGGUGGAAACUACCAAGCUGGAGUACGGUAGGGGCAGAGGGAAUUUCCGGUGGAGCGGUGAAAUGCGUAGAGAUCGGAAGGAACAUCUGAGGCGAAGGCGGCCACCGGGACCAACACUGACACUGAGGCACGAAAGCGUGGGGAGCAAACAGG
rnacentral:rRNA from 1 species